AUACUCUGGUUUCAGAUCGUAAAAAUGUUUCGCCUUUUACUAAAGAUUUCCGUGGAGAGGAACAAUUGCGAGUCUUUAUAAACAAUUUCUGAGGCUUUGCACUUGGUGAGGC